GAUGAACGCUGGCGGCGUGCCUAACACAUGCAAGUCGAGCGAAGCGCUUAAAUUAGAUUUCUUCGGAAUGACGAUUUUUGUGACUGAGCGGCGGACGGGUGAGUAACGCGUGGGUAACCUGCCUCAUACAGGGGGAUAACAGUUAGAAAUGACUGCUAAUACCGCAUAAGACCCCAGCUUCGCAUGAAGCGGUGGUAAAAACUCCGGUGGUAUGAGAUGGACCGGCGUCUGAUUAGCUAGUUGGUAAGGUAACGGCUUACCAAGGCGACGACCAGUAGCCGACCUGAGAGGGUGACCGGCCACAUUGGGACUGAGACACGGCCCAGACUCCUACGGGAGGCAGCAGUGGGGAAUAUUGCACAAUGGGGGAAACCCUGAUGCAGCGACGCCGCGUGAAGGAUGAAGUAUUUCGGUAUGUAAACUUCUAUCAGCAGGGAAGAAAGUGACGGUACCUGACUAAGAAGCCCCGGCUAACUACGUG
rnacentral:rRNA from 1 species